GACUGCCUUAAAACAAAUGAAAGUAAACGGGGGAGCUGCGGUUUUUACUGAAUAAAAACACGGUAACGUUCACAUUUAUCAACCGAUUUCAGAGGCGUACUACUCUGGCUGUGACAUCAUCAUCCUGGGGAGGGACUUUGAGAGGAUUCAGAUCAUCCCAGGAGCCAAACACGGGAACAUCCAGAUUAUUGCUGAUGUGAAGCAGUGUGGAAGGCGCUGUAUAGUGAUCAUGCUCUCUGCCCUUUAACCUCUCAAAUCUGAAUAUAUACGCCAAUUAAUCUAAUUUUAUAUCGAGUAUGAAGAGAUCUGUAAUAUACUUGACUGUAUGUAAUGAGAAAAUAAAUUACUUAAUGCAACAUC